UACCUGGUUGAUCCUGCCAGUAGUCAUAUGCUUGUCUCAAAGAUUAAGCCAUGCAAGUCUAAGUACGAGCUCUCGUACAGUGAAACUGCGAAUGGCUCAUUAAAUCAGUUAUGGUUCAUUUGAUCGUACAGUUUACUUGGAUAACUGUGGUAAUUCUAGAGCUAAUACAUGCGAGAAGCGCCGACCUCGCGGGAGGCGUGCAUUUAUCAGACCAAAAACCGGCCGCGUCUUCGGGCGCGUUCGCCUUGGUGACUCUGGAUAACUUUGCGGAUCGCACGGUCUAGCACCGGCGACGGAUCAUUCAAGUGUCUGCCCUAUCAACUUUCGUCGGUACGGUAUUUGCCUACCGAGGUUCUUACGGGUGACGGGGAAUCAGGGUUCGAUUCCGGAGAGGGAGCCUGAGAAACGGCUACCACAUCCAAGGAAGGCAGCAGGCGCGCAAAUUACCCAUUCCCGACGCGGGGAGGUAGUGACGAAAAAUAACAAUGCAGGACUCGUUCGAGGCCCUGUAAUUGGAAUGAGUACACUUUAAAAGCUUUAACGAGUAUCCAUUGGAGGGCAAGUCUGGUGCCAGCAGCCGCGGUAAUUCCAGCUCCAAAAGUAUAUAUUUAAGUUGUUGCGGUUAAAAAG
rnacentral:ncRNA from 1 species